GUGAAUCAUCGAAUCUUUGAACGCACAUUGCGCCCCUUGGUAUUCCAUGGGGCAUGCCUGUUCGAGCGUCAUCUACACCCUCAAGCUCUGCUUGGUGUUGGGCGUCUGUCCCGCCUCUGCGCGCGGACUCGCCCCAAAUUCAUUGGCAGCGGUCUUUGCCUCCUCUCGCGCAGCACAUUGCGCUUCUCGAGGUGCGCGGCCCGCGUCCACGAAGCAACAUUACCGUCUUUGACCUCGGAUCAGGUAGGGAUACCCGCUGAACUUAAGCAUAUCAAUAAGCGGAGGA
rnacentral:misc_RNA from 1 species